ACAGCUCAGUCAGUAAAGCAUGAGACUCUUACUUUCAGGGUUGUGGGUUCAAGCCCCAUGUUGAGCA